AAAAGACAAAGAAAAUCACUUUCUGCUCUUGACUGAAUACGUUUUAUCACUUUAAUGAUUUGCUCAGAAGAGAAACGAAGCAUAUGACAGCAAGAGAGAAAUCUCUCCCUACAAUGCAUUGCCUGGAACUAUCUACACUAACAAUGACACAGCAUCUAUUGACUUUUUUUUAUCUCAAGGCCAGAGAGUUCUGACAUAUGUCUGCAAUUUUGUUUUCGUAAGUAAUUUUCCAACCAGUGUUGCCCAGAGGUCUGCAAGGUGACCUCGUUUUCUGAAGAGAAAAAUUAUCCACAUCUGAGGCGGCGUGCUUUGCCUUUCCUCCACUUGAUGUGGUGCUGUAGUCCUGGAACAUGGCUGUUGUAAAUUUGUAUUUUCUUGUGAUGUUUCCACUCAUGCUUCUUUGCUGUUGGCCUUCUGCAGAUGUCCUCAAAAAAAAAAAAAAAAAAGCCAUUGAGCAAAGCUUUCCUUUUAUGCAAAACCAUGCAAUCAAGGUCUAUCUCUAUUGAUACCGCAAAAAAAUGAAGUGCAUCCGGCGAACAUGAGCGAAAGGUUCACAUGCGCUGUGAUUGAGAAUAAAAUGCUUGUUGUGGUUU